GCACCACGGGGGCCUGGGCGUUGGCACACCUCAGCCCUGUGGCAGCCACAUCUCCCUGUGAACCCUUCUCCAGCCUUGUGCAGAGGUGAAAAGGGGUGGUGAGUGCCAUGGCAAAAUAGUGAUGGGAAAAUAGCUCCAGAAGUGUGAUAUUCAUUAAUUCACGAGAAGCAUGAGCAUGAUAAGCUUGAUUUAUGCCAAAAAGCAUUUGUUUGACACUUUAUCCUGACGUGUGUGGGAGGUCAACAGGCUGCUGAGAUGUGUCUUAGAAAGCUGCAGGACUGGCAGAGCAGAAACCUUCAGUGGAAUCUGAAGAGUUGCACACGUAAGACAGAUGGAGGUAAAGUCCAGGUUGUCUGAGGUACCCAAUGAUGUCACACCUCCAGCUGUGGAAUUUGCAGGUGCUCCUGGGUUCUCAUCAGCCCCUUUCAAGGCGUGAGGGAAACCAUCUCGGCCCUCUGUGAUCUGCUCCCUGGGAUACAGAUAGCAGGACAAAGCAGUCAUUCUCUUUUUCUCCCAUGGUAAGUGGUCUCUGCC